GCCGGGCGCGGUGGCGCAUGCCUGCAAUCCCAGCAACUUUGGAGGCUGAGGCAGGAGGAUCCCAAGUUCAAGGGACUUGGGGAUUCAAGUAACUUAGUGAGCAAGCACCUAAGCAACUUGGAGAGACUCUGUCUCAA
rnacentral:sRNA from 1 species